AUUAUGAUGUAGGCUUUCUUGGAUUCUGCCAAAGAAAUCUAAUUAUCCGAGAGACCAUUGCGUUCUCUGUUUUUAUCUACUCAGAGGUGCUUUAGCCAGAACCCUGACGAUCUCACAAAAGCAAGUCAAAUCCUGGAGGGUGAUUCGUUGCAUGCUUCCUGUGUAGCAGGCACUUGGCUAGACACCAGAACUCACAAGACAGCUGUGGUUCUUGUUUGGAGUUUGCUUCAGAAGACAGAUGGGAAUAAAGUUGCUGUACACUCAAAAGCAGAUGGAGACACUGGAUUCAUUCAGUCUCCCAGAUCUUGUGGAUUGAUGGCACUGAGACUGCUCAGUCUGCAUGGACCCUAUGUUCAUCCAUUCCCCAUGGUUCUCUUCACCAGCAUAGACCUACAAGAUCAGCCUUUCUAGAAGAGAUAUUCUCUUUUGUUGUAGGAAGAAGUAACACAAACAAAUACAUGGCUUAUCUCUUUGCAGUUAUUAAUGGGGCUUUUAAGAGACUGUCAAUUAAUAUGCUGCCUCCAAACAGGAGAAAAUCAGAAGUAAACAAGAUACAACAAAAACAAAUAAAAGAAAAAAAAAUCAGUGGGUUAAUAGGAAAGUUUUAGAAACUUCAUCACUGGUGAUUUAGAAGUACUGAAUAAAUUGAAGGGUUCAAGUUCAAUUUUUUUUUGUAAAAUUUGUCUUAUAGGUGCACACUUGUGCAAGACAAGUAUAAAUGGCUUGGGACUUAAUGAAAAGGUAAAUAAAUGAACAGCUCGCAACACCCCUAUAUAAUAAGGUUCAGUACCUACAAUUAUCUAUCAUUCUUUGAAACUUAAGGAAGUUUCUUUUGUGUUUUGUUUUGUUUUGAUCCAUACCACCUUGAACAUCACUGAAGGGAACAUGAUCAGAGGCACAGAACCCAUAGAGAGAGUGAAGUAUCAAGGAUACUGCCUGUUUUUCAGGCUCCAGGCAGAAAAUAAUUCAAUGGAUCAUUCACCUGGUUACUUGCUUUAAACCAUUGAACAUACAGGAAGAACAAGCCAGAAAUGGCUCCUGUACACAGGGACAUUUAAAAUCUGAUACAGGAGAGCUGUGGCCAAUGUCAGUAAGGGAUGAGUUAAUGUACAUGUAUGCCUAAAAAUGGACAUACAAUUAGUAAAAUUCAUUGAUAAUAUUGUUUGAGUUAAUUUGUUCUCUUUCAUUAAUCAAAAGGCUCAUCUGGGGAGUCAAGCCACCCAUUUGGUUGGGUGUGAAGGUGGAGUGUGCACUUGAAUUCCAUUCUGAGUAGGACACCUACACAGUUUUGGACUUGAACUUCAUCACAGCUCAAUACACUAUUGGUCCUUAAUUGGGUGGUUAUGACUAGUCAGCAAAGCUUUUGAGCUUCCUUAUAGAAGCAUAUUCUCCUCCUUAGCAUUUCCACACACAAAGAAAUCUGUACACCAGUGAGGCCUACCUAGUGAUCAGAUGACACUGGUUUGUCUGAGACCUUCUAGUUCUGGCUCUGAAAGUGUCCUGUCCCAGAAAACUGCUCAUUCACAGGAUCCUCAGAGGGGUGCUCACCUUCAACCUCGGCUCAGGUGGCUUUCACGCAACCUAGUUAGCACAGGCUGCUCCAUGAACUAUGGUAGUCUUCCCUGUUUUCCUACUUUAUAGGCAAUACUAUAUUUUAUAUGUUCUUUCUUACCUCUUAAUGCACUACUAGCACUAUAGUUUUCUUUCCCUAUUAUCUCCAAUUUCUUAAUCUAGAGAUCUUCCAGUAGCUUAAAUAGAUUUCAGCAAAACAUGCAUUUGAAAGUCCUUAAGUGAGAAAUAGGAAGGUGAUGCCUUACCAUCUCU